GAGCCAUUAGCUCAGAUGGUAGAGCAACGGACUUUUAAUCCGUGUGCCCAGGGUUCAAUUCCCUGAUGGCUCACCA
rnacentral:tRNA from 2 species